GAUAGAAUAAUGUAGGUAAGGGAAGUCGGCAAAACGGAUCCGUAACUUCGGAACAAGGAUUGGCUCUAAGGGCUGGGCCGAUCGGGCUGAGGUUUCAAGCGUGCAGUGUAUGCUUGGCUGAGUUGUGUUGAGGACUUGUUCACUUGCCGCCGUUUGUUCGGUUGGUCUAGUGUAUUCGAGUCUGAAGCAGAGCUGGCCGACAGACCGGCACGUGCAGAACCUGAGCUGCGCGGCUGUCCGUUUACGUGUACAGACCGUUUCGGUCGGCAUUCAACAGCCAACUUAGAACUGGCACGGACACAAGGAAUCUGACUGUAUAAUUAAAACAAAGCAUUGCGAUGGCCGAUGAUCGGUGAUGACGCAAUGUGAUUUCUGCCCAGUGCUCUGAAUGUCAAAGUGAAGAAAUUCAAUCAAGCGCGGGUAAACGGCGGGAGUAACUAUGACUCUCUUAACCUGAUUUCGUCCGUGCGGCGGCGUUUUCUUUUCGCUCUCCGCUCGUCGAAAUUUGCUGUAGUUGAAUCGCUUUUUCUUUGCGUUUUCUUCUACUUUCGCAGUUUUCUGCACCGCCACGAUGUCAAACCGCCUUGCCGAUACUGAUGCGGCUGGUGGGGUUCCAGAGAAAAACUCGGGAGCUUUAGACAUUCCUGGCCAACCCUCUUCAUCCGGUGAAAAGCGUGCGAUCUCUUACCCUGGUCCAUUCAGUUGCAAUUUAUGUUCGUUUACGAGUACGACUUGGCUCUCAAUGGAAUUGCAUUUUAAAAGCGUUCAUAACAUUCGUGAGUUUGUCUUCCUUUGCUCUAAAUGUGAAAAAAGCAAGCCAUCGAUCAACUCCGUAGCUAGCCAUUACCCUCGGUGCAAAGGUAGCGUCAAAGCUGCAGUUGUUCCUUCAUCUUUGGCGAAUACAUGCACGACGUGCGGCUCUAGCUUCGGCACUUUUGGCGGUCUCCAACUCCAUCGGAAAAGAGCACAUCCGGACGUUUUUGCUGCUUCGUGUAGCAAAAAAACGAAAGCCCGUUGGUCAAACGAUGAAUUCACCCUUCUGGCGACACUCGAAGCAGGUCUGGAUUCAGCCUGUAAAAACAUUAACCAAGUACUUGUGGAAAGGUUAAUGGGGUAUAACAUCACCAGAAGCGUCGAGAUGAUAAAAGGCCAACGUAGAAAAGAACAGUACAAAGCACUCGUUCGUCAGCUCCGGUCAAAAUCUGAAACACAGCAAUGUGUAGGUUUUGCCGGAAGUAUGGAUUCAAACGUACCGGUCAAUGUUACAACGCCAUCGGUUGUGGCAGAGGUCGCCAUUACGUACCCUGAGUACGGGGCCGUAAUGUCGUGCGACCUAAUUAAACAAGCGACCGGUAUGGCCAUCGUUGACAUCAACGAGUUGCAAAACAACUUACGCAAAGUUUUCUCGUCCGGUCGCAAUCUUCCCGCGAAAUCCCAUGGAGUACGCGAAUCCGUCCCGAAGAAAAUGGCCAAUCCCCGUGUUGCAAAAUUCAAGCGGUUUCAACGGUUGUUUCGAAGCAACAGGAGGAAAUUGGCCAGCCAUAUUUUUGAUAAAGCCUCAUUAGAACAAUUCGGUGGCAGUAUCGAUGAGGCAUCAGAUCACCUCGAAAAAUUCCUCUCCCAUCCAAGACUGGAGUCCGAUCUUUAUUCCGCGAUAAGCGGUGAUAACUCAAUCGGAAUUGCACAUCCAAUUUUGGCUGAGGAGGUGGAAUUGGAAUUAAAGGCCACCCGACCAACUGCCGUUGGCCCGGAUGGAAUAGCUUUGGAAGACAUCAAACGUCUAAACCCGUAUGACAUAGCCAGUCUUUUUAACCUUUGGUUAAAAGCUGGCGACUUACCCGAUUCGGUGAAAGCAAGCAGAACCAUCUUCUUGCCCAAAAGCGACGGCACCACCGACAUAUCAAAUUGUCGGCCAAUAACAAUCGCAUCCGCCCUAUACCGGCUGUUCAGUAAAAUCAUAACGCGACGCCUGGCAGCCAAGUUGGAACUAAACGUGCGGCAGAAAGCGUUCCAACCAGAAAUGAACGGCGUAUUCGAAAACACCGCCAUUUUAUACGCCCUGAUUAAGGAUGCAAAGGUCAGGUCGAAAGAAAUUUGCAUAACAACGCUCGACCUCGCCAAGGCCUUCGACACGGUGCCGCACUCACGCAUUUUACGAGCCCUGAAGAAAAAUAACGUUGACCCGGAAUCCGUCGAUCUGAUUUCGAAAAUGUUAACGGGUACAACCUAUGCAGAAAUAAAAGGGCUCAAGGGCAAACCUAUAACCAUUCGUAAUGGAGUCAGGCAAGGUGACCCCUUGUCGCCCCUAUUAUUUAGUCUAUUUAUAGACGAAAUAAUAGGUCGCCUACAAGCCUGCGGCCCUGCCUACGACUUCCAUGGCGAAAAAAUUUGCAUCCUUGCUUUCGCCGAUGACCUUACGCUGGUGGCUGACAGCGCAGCUGGUAUGAAGAUACUCCUGAAAGCGGCCUGUGACUUUCUGGCGGAAUCCGGAAUGUCACUCAAUACAGAGAAAUGCCGCACUCUCUGUAUAUCAAGAUCUCCUCGAAGCCGCAAGACCUUUGUUAACCCAGCUGCCAAAUUCAUCAUCAGCGAUUGGAAAACGGGUGUCAGCUCAGAGAUCCCUUCCUUGUGUGCAACGGACACCUUUCGUUUCCUUGGGCACACCUUUGAUGGAGAAGGAAAAAUCCACAUCGACUUGGAGGAAAUUCGAUCCAUGGUCAAAUCGGUAAAGUCAGCUCCACUGAAACCGGAACAGAAGGUGGCUUUGAUACGGUCACACCUUCUUCCCCGCCUUCAGUUCCUGUUUUCCACAGCUGAAGUUGACAGCCGGCGAGCCUGGCUGAUUGAUUCCAUCAUCCGGGGGUGUGUGAAGGAGAUCUUGCACUCAGUGAAAGCUGGUAUGUGCACAGAUUUCUUUUACAUACCCUCUAGAGACGGUGGGAUGGGACUUACUUCCCUCGGGGAGUUUUCCCUUUUCGGCAGGCAGAAGGCACUUGCCAAGAUGGCUGGAUCGUCAGACCCCCUCUCGAAACGGGUUGCCGAAUUCUUCAUUGAAAGGUGGAACAUCGCCCGUGACCCGAAAGUCAUUGAAGCUGCUCGGCGCGUCUAUCAGAAAAAACGGUACCAACGCUUUUUCCGGACGUACCAGAGUGGUGGAUGGAACGAAUUUUCGGGGAACACUAUUGGAAACGCCUGGUUGACUAAUGGCCGCGCCCGCGGAAGAAACUUCAUAAUGGCUGUGAAAUUCCGUUCGAACACCGCAGCCACCCGGGCUGAAAAUCUUCGGGGCCGUCUCGGCAUGAAAGAAUGCCGGUUUUGCAAGAGUGCCACCGAAACUUUGGCACACAUAUGUCAGAGGUGUCCGGCAAAUCACGGCUUGGUAAUCCAGCGCCACAACGCAGUCGUAACAUUUCUGGGGGAAAUGGCGCGGAAAGAAGGUUAUCAGGUCAUGAUAGAGCCUAAGGUGUCAACCCCGGUCGGCGCGCUCAAGCCUGACCUCCUUCUCAUCAAAGCAGACUCUGCAUUCAUUGUAGACGUAGGCAUUGCAUGGGAAGGGGGACGCCCACUAAAGCUGGUCAGCAAAAUGAAAUGUGAUAAGUACAAGAUUGCCAUCCCGGCAAUUUUGGAAACAUUUCACGUUGGCCAUGCUGAGACGUACGGCGUUAUUCUAGGCAGCCGCGGAUGCUGGCUCAAGAGCAACGACAAGGCGUUGGCAUCAAUUGGGCUCAAUAUCACAAGGAAGAUGAAAGAACACCUGAGCUGGUUGACGUUUGAAAACACCAUCCGAAUGUAUAACUCAUUCAUGAAAAACUGAGGUUUCUUUUGUUUAUUUCUUUUUACCAUUCGUUCUUGUUCCAUUGUUGUUAUUUGUUUUAAUCUUGUAUUUUACCGCCGGCAAUUCCAUCAUUAUUACUACAGUUACUGUUAUUAUUGUUACUAUUGUUAUUACUUUUACUUACUAUUGUUAUUACGCUUUAAUUCGUUUACAUACGUUAUUGUUACUACUAUUUACUUUACUCUCGCAAACUUUCAUCAUUGUUACUUUUGGACCAGGAUCAGAGAAUUUGCACGCUCAGCGGAACUGGACCGCUUAAGCCAGAAACAGUAAAGUAACAAUAGCCAAAUGCCUCGUCAUCUAAUUAGUGACGCGUAUGAAUGGAUCAACAAGAUUCCUUCUGUCCCUAUCUACUAUCUAGCGAAACCACAGCCAAGGGAACGGGCUUGGCAAAAUCAGCGGGGAAAGAAGACCCUGUUGAGCUUGACUCUAGUCUGACUCUGUGAAGAGACAUGAAAGGUGUAGCAUAGGUGGGAGAUUGUCAAAUUGCCAUCGUUCGCGCGGUGGUCCGGUGAUCGCCAAUGAAAUACCACUACUUUGAUCGUUUCUUUACUUAUUCGGUAAAGCGAAAAAAUUGUGGCCAAUUUGGCGGUUUAUGUCGCUGUUGGUCAUUGUUUUCAUGUUAGAUUGAAGCUUUGUUUACAGCCGUCGCUUUGUGUCGCCAUUUGACGCAUUGUUGUACUGGGUUAUCCCGGUGUGUGGUGUAGUCAGUAUGGAUGAUCGGCGAUAGGUUUGAAGUGAUUCGCUCCGGAAACAGUGUCAGACGGGGAGUUUGACUGGGGCGGUACAUCUGUUAAACGAUAACGCAGGUGUCCUAAGGUAAGCUCAGCGAGGACAGAAACCUCGCUUAGAGUAAACGGGCACAAGCUUACUUGAUUUUGAUUUCCAGUACGAAUAGAAACCGCGAAAGCGUGGCCUAUCGAUCCUUUUGAUUGUGUAGAUUUCAUGCAAGAGGUGUCAGAAAAGUUACCACAGGGAUAACUGGCUUGUGGCAGCCAAGCGUCCAUAGCGACGUUGCUUUUUGAUCCUUCGAUGUCGGCUCUUCCUAUCAUUGCGAAGCAGAAUUCGCCAAGCGUUGGAUUGUUCACCCACCAAUAGGGAACGUGAGCUGGGUUUAGACCGUCGUGAGACAGGUUAGUUUUACCCUACUGAUGACAAGUCGUUGCGAUAGUAAUCCUGCUCAGUACGAGAGGAACCGCGGGAUCAGACAUUUGGUUCAUGCGCUCGGCUGAAAGGCCGGUGGCGCGAAGCUAGCAUCUGCAAGAUUAUGACUGAACGCCUCUAAGUCAGAAUCUUUUCUAGUCAUUGGCAACGAUAAGUUGCGUCCAGACUCGAUGCGAGGAAACGAUUAGGCUUUGCUAUACGGCGAAGCCAUUAUCAGACCACGGUAGCAGGCAGUAUGGGAUUGUUACGAAAAAGCAAUUUUUUGAAGUCAGUUGAAUUCAAUCAAACUGCUAACAAUUCCACUGCGAAUGACUCCAUUCGAAUCAAUCGAAGCACAGCGGUCAGGAUGUCGAACAUUUUGCAGACGACAAAAAUACCGGUACAGGUGUCGUAAUCAGUAGAGCAGUCAACACACUGCGAUCUGAUGAGACUCAUCCUUGUAAUCGAUUUGCUC
rnacentral:ncRNA from 1 species